UACGUAGGAGACAAACGUUAUCCGGAGUUACUGGGCGUAAAGGGCGUGUAGGUGGUUGCGUAAGUCUGGCGUGAAAUUUUUCGGCUUAACCGGGAAAGGUCGUCGGAUACUGCGUAACUAGAGUACGGAAGAGGCGAGUGGAAUUCCUGGUGUAGCGGUGGAAUGCGCAGAUAUCAGGAGGAACACCAAUAGCGAAGGCAGCUCGCUGGGACGUUACUGACACUGAGGCGCGAAAGCGUGGGGAGCGAACAGG
rnacentral:rRNA from 1 species